GGGGUUGUGGAUCAGUGGCAGAACGCUCACCUAGCAUGUGUGAGGCACUGGGUUCAAUCCUCAGCACCACA
rnacentral:tRNA from 1 species